rnacentral:ncRNA from 1 species
GUGUAAGUUUCUAAGGGCACACGGUGGAUGCCUUGGCAUCAGGAGCUGAUGAAGGACGUGGGAAUCUGCGAUAAGCCUCGGGGAGACGAUAACCGGUCUGUGAUCCGAGGAUUUCCGAAUGGGGUAACCCGGCCGCAUGUCAUGUGUGGUCACCGCCGUCUGAAUAUAUAGGGCGUGCGGGGGGAACGCGGGGAAGUGAAACAUCUCAGUACCCGCAGGAAGAGAAAACAACAGUGAUUCCGUUAGUAGUGGCGAGCG